AACGAACGCUGGCGGCAGGCUUAACACAUGCAAGUCGAACGGGUGCAGCAAUGCAUCAGUGGCAGACGGGUGAGUAACACGUGGGAACCUUCCUAGGGGUACGGAACAACUCAGGGAAACUUGAGCUAAUACCGUAUACGCCCCCGGACUUGAUCCGGGGGAAAGGAUUCAUCGCCCCUAGACGGGCCCGCGUCGGAUUAGGUAGUUGGUGGGGUAACGGCCUACCAAGCCUGCGAUCCGUAGCUGACUGAGAGGAUGAUCAGCCACACUGGGACUGAGACACGGCCCAGACUCC
rnacentral:rRNA from 1 species